rnacentral:rRNA from 1 species
UACGUAGGUGGCAAGCGUUGUCCGGAUUUACUGGGCGUAAAGCGCACGCAGGCGGUCUUGUUAGUCUCAGGUGACAGUCCCCGGCUUAACUGGGGAAGUGUCUGGGAAACUGCAAGACUUGAGGGCUUCAGAGGGACAUGGAAUUCCAGGUGGAGUGGUGAAAUGCGUAGAUAUCAGGAGGAACACCGGUGGCGAAGGCGGUUCUCUGGGCAUUACCUGACGCUGAGGAGCGAAAGUGUGGGGAGCGAACAGG